rnacentral:rRNA from 2 species
GCGCGAAACGUCCCCAAUGCGGGAAACCGUGAGGGCGCUACCCCCAGUGCCUCCGUUUGGAGGCUUUUCCCCGCUCCAAAAAGGCGGGGGAAUAAGCGGGGGGCAAGACUGGUGUCAGCCGCCGCGGUAAUACCAGCCCCGCGAGUGAUCCGGACGUUUACUGGGCUUAAAGCGCCCGUAGCCGGCCCUGCAAGUCACCCCUUAAAGACCCCGGCUCAACCGGGGGAAUGGGGGUGAUACUGUAGGGCUAGGGGGCGGGAGAGGCCGGCGGUACUCCCGGAGUAGGGGCGAAAUCCGUAGAUCCCGGGAGGACCACCAGUGGCGAAAGCGGCCGGCUAGAACGCGCCCGACGGUGAGGGGCGAAAGCCGGGGUAGCAAAAGGG